UCAAACCAGUCUCAAUUUUUCUAAAAAUUUUAAAAAUAAAAUGGAAGAUCAGCGUGAACGAAAACUGAUGAAGUUGGUUAAUGCAUUUCUUUACGUGAAGGAUACCCAGAACUUCAAUUUGCAGACGAUCAAUUCUGAAUAUAGGAGUCUAUAUCCUAUUCAGAUACUAUUGAAUGGAACCCAACGAAAGAUGAAGGAAUUGCUGUCCAGGGUCCAGAAAUUUCAAGAACAGAAUGCCGACCUAAUGUAUACCACGACAUUUCAGUAUGCGACUGAAAUUAUUAAGGAAAAUGCGGCUAUGGAUGAGAAUUUGUUUAACGCUGAUGCCGACGAAAUGCAUAUUGAUUUUGAAGACUUGAAAAUAUCGGAAUAGUCUUCUCCCCUCCAAAAAAUAUAUCCGCUUGAAGUUUCUCAAUCUUUUACAAUUCAAUACAAGUUCUAAAUUAAUUUUUUAAUUAAUUAAAAAGAAUGCAUUAAAUUAAUAAACAAAGCAUUUCCCUACAAAUUUAUUUUAUGUUUUUCAAAUGGGAAACUGUAGAGCGCAAUCUACAAAUUCUACCCAUUUCACCGAUACAGGAAGAUUGCUUGAAGCAAUGGAAAAUACUCGUGCAGCUACUUACCACUAGAUGGAGCCAGAAGCAAAAUGUAAAUUGUGUGUAACAAUCUUGUAAAAUAAAUAAGCCAUACUCCA